AGUGCCUUUCCCCACCGGCGAGUCUAACUUCUGCAAAGGUUCAGAAACGCUCAGCCAACUCUCGCCAAUGUUUGAAGGGGAACCCAGCCGGCUCACAAGCGAUCGCUGAGAUUUGAGAGACUUGGACCUCGCACAUGCGCUUUGGGCACCCUUGGCCGCCCGCCCUCUGCGCGCAGGCCCAGCGACGCCGGUUUGUGAGGCGCGCAAGCGCAUCUGUGUUUGGCAUCGUUGCUUGGUUACAUUAUGCUGCGCUCAAAGAUUCCAGACCUCGGAAUUUCGCUACUGUGAUGUAGUGGCGAGGCGGGUUUGGCUUAUCUCUAGCGCUAGUGUUGGGCUCUAGAGGCGGUGAAAAGCGGAGGGGAAGGGGAAGUGUUUGUGAAGCCUCCAGGCUUUGCGGUGAAGAAGUUUUUUAGCUUCGGGAGUAAGAAGGGCGGGUCGUCCUUUCGCGUUACCAGCUCGCUGAGGGACGGCCCGGGCAUCCUGCGUGAGAGGAGAAUUGGAACCAGCAGCUUCGGGUGGGGGUACAACAUCCGAGACAAAGAUCUCAGAAAGAUCCACAAAGUUGCCAGCAUGGGCAACGUAAGGAAACUGCAGGAGAUUCUACUUUCCGGGAAACACGGCGUGGACGAAAGAGACCAGAUGAACAGGACUGCUCUUCAUUUGGCCUGUGCCAAUGGCCAUCCAGAUGUCGUUGCUGUCCUAGUGGAGAGGAAAUGCCAGCUUGACCUCUUUGAUAAAGAUUUAGGACUGCUCUGAUGAAGGAUGAACUCACACCAUUUCUACUUGCUGUAAGUGAGAACAAACAGCAAAUGGUGGAAUUUUUAAUAGAAAAAGAAGCAAAUGUACAUGCAAUUGAUAAGUUGCAAAGGUACAGUAGUUUUGGGUUUUUUUUUAAACCUUAUAUUGUUCUAUGGGUGGGAGGAUGGGUUAGCCUGGUGGUGGGUAUUGAGGAGGGCACAUUCUGUAUGGAGCACUGGGUGUUAUGCACAAACAAUGAAUCAUGGAACACUUCAUCUAAAACUAAUGAUGUAAUGUAUGGGGAUUAACAUAAGAAUAAAAAAAAACCCCUUAUAUUGUUCUAGAGUGGCACAGUUACUCAAGUCAGAAAGAUUAACUUAAUACGAAGAGGAUUAAUUUAUAAUUAUAUAGUGAAAAAUGUCAACAUGUCAUCAGUUAGGCAGAAAGCAAUUAUUCUGACGGGGCAACAUGAAGAACAGUAUAUGGUAGAAUUUAUAUUCCUUCAUAUUAUUGACUGAUGUCAUUUGCAGUCUUUUUUUGUUUUUUGCCAUAUGCUUUUAUAUUAGCUAAAGGGGUUUCAUAUUAGUUUUAUAAUGUGUGGACUCCUAACUUUUAUUUUACUUUAUGAUGCAAUAUUGGACUUCUUCACCCUUUUAUAAUAUUUUUGAAACUUCUACUUCAUAUAUAUUUUCCUUAAAAGAUGAAUAUUAAACAUAAAUAGGAGUUGCUUUGUCUUUUGGAUGACUCUUUGCUUUAAAUUGCUUUUUGUUUUUGAAGAAUACUGAUGUUAGAUGAUCCCUAAGUGAUUAUUAAUUACUCUUACCAGAUAAUAUGGGCUCAUCAUCCUUUUUCAUGUUCAGUAUAUAUAUAUAUUUUUGUUUUCAUUGGCAAGGAUAGAAGGAUGAAAGAUAACUUUAAUUGAAUAGACUUUUCCUUUAAUGAGGACAAAUCAUAGGUGGGUGAUAAAGAGAAAAGAGAUGGGCUUUAGAUUGACACAAGACUAGGUUUAAUUCCUAGCUUUCCUACUUGCUGGGUGUGUGAUUUUGGAAACAUUACUUAUCAUAACCAGAUACAUUUCCUGAUAUGAAAAGGAGGAUAAUAAUAUAUCCUUCAAGGGUGGUUGUGUGUACUAUUUUAUAUAUAUAUAUAGUAUUUAAUUUAGUGUCUACCACGUGCUUAUCUUAACAUCAUUAACUGCAACUAUGACUGUUUUAUUACCAUUAGUAUGGAUACUGUUAUUUUCAGCCUGCAAAUAAGCUUUUUUAUUUUUUUAUUUUUAAAGAUUUUAUUUAUUUGAGAGAGAGAGAGAGAGAGAGAGAGCAUGAGCAGGGGGAGGGGCUAGAGCAGGGAGCCAGACAUGGAGCUCGAUCCCAGGACCCCGAGAUCAUGACUGAGCUGAAGGCAGACGCUUAACCGACUGAGCCACCCAGGCACCCCUGCAAAUAGCUUUUUAUACGGACCUGUCCUCUAGAUGGCUUGUAAGUACACUGUAUCAGAUUAAGGAAGAAAUGGGGGAUUCUUUUUUAAAAUCUUUACCAUCAGAUAAGUGACCUCAGCAUAGUUUCUUGUUCAUCAAAGGACCUUUUUUUUUUUAAAGAUUUUAUUUAUUUAUUUGACAGAGAGAGAGAUAGCUAGAGAGGGAACACAAGC